rnacentral:rRNA from 1 species
GAUUAUGGCUCAGAACGAACGCUGGCGGCGCGUUUAAGCAUGCAAGUCGAGCGGCAAGGGCCUUCGGGCCCCUAGAGCGGCGGACGGGUGAGUAACACGUGGACAAUCUGCCCCCCGGCCCGGGAUAGCCCAGGGAAACCUGGAUUAAUACCGGAUGAGACGGGACCCGCGAUGGCGGGACCCGGGAAAGGCGCUGCGGCGCCGCCGGGGGAUGAGUCUGCGUCCCAUUAGCUAGACGGCGGGGUAACGGCCCACCGUGGCGACGAUGGGUAGCCGGCCUGAGAGGGUGGACGGCCACAUUGGAACUGAGACACGGUCCAGACUCCUACGGGAGGCAGCAGCUAAGAAUCCUUCCGCAAGUGGGACGAAAGCCUGACGGAGCGACGCCCGCGUGAACGAGGAAGGCCGUGAGGUUAGUAAAGUUCGUUUUCGGGAGGGGGAACAACCGUGGCAGGGAAUGGCCGCGGGAUGACGUGAAUCCCGGAAUAAGCCCCGGCUAACUACGUGCCAGCCGCAGC